UGGCAGCUUUGUUGAUUUGGGCAGAAAAAAAUGUGUCCCGCACCGACGUGGAAUGUGCGUGGAAGAAGGCUAACACUCCGAAGGGGGACGAAAUUGCAGCCAAGAGAGUGUCUGAGAUGAGAUGACACCAUCCACAACACAAGGUUUGUCAUAAGUUUGUUGAUGUUUUGGGGUUUUAAUUAUUUUCUUAACUACGUAAUGUGGUUUAAAGAUAUCGCUAUAAAUAUUAAAAGUAUUUAUGAAACUCUUCUAACAUAAACUCACUUUAUGAUAAUUAUGAUCAUAAGCUUUAUCACCAUAUUGAAAUUGACCAAUUGCAAGACAUUGAGGCGGAGAUGUACUGUACACUGUGAUAUUUUUUUUAAUGCUUAGAUUGUGUGCUAUAAAUAAAUGAUCCUUACUCAUUUUAUUCAUUUCAUCAUUAUAACCAGUUGUAUACCAUUUUUUCAGCCGGCAUCAAAAGACCUGUCACCCAGGAGGACAAAGAAUGGAUUCGGGCAUCCCUAUCGAAGCUUGGGCGUUUUACAGGGAUGGUGUGGAUUUUGAGUCCAGAACCGCCUCAGGUUUGCAUAUCGCAAGAAAAGGAUAACAGCAAGUAACUUUGGUUUGGUCUUGGCAGCAGUCAAGCGGAAGUCUUACUCAAAACCCUGCUUGGCCAGUACAACCUCAAAAAAGAAGGAUCUAAAGCAUGUGAUUGGGGAAUCCUGCAUGAGCCAAGGGCAAAGCAGGAAUACACUGAGCUCACUGGUCUUGUUAUACAAGGGGAGGGGACUGUUCCUGUUUGAUAGCGGCCUGCUUGGUGGAUCUCCGGAUGGGACGGUGUUUGGAAACUGCAUGAUUGAAGUCAAGUGACCAUGGUCAGCCAGAACCAAGACGAGUUGGAGUUCGAUGAAGUGGUUGGUUCUCUGACGCUAAAACACACACACAACUACUGGCAUCAGAUCCAAGGAAACCUGCACCUGUCACCUGGUGGUGUGGACUCCUCUAGACUUUGUCCUUCUACCAGUGCUCAAAGACCCUUCAUGGGCUGUGAACAUUGACACUCUGGAAAUAUUUUAUAAAGAUUGUUUCCUACCAUACAUUCUCUCACAGUUGUAAGUACUGUCGAACUUGUCUCGCAAAUAAAUGAAAAUGUGACAUUUCACACAAGCCAGGUAAUUUAU